UACGAAGGGGGCUAGCGUUGAUCGGAAUCACUGGGCGUAAAGCGCACGUAGGCGGAUCUUUAAGUCAGGGGUGAAAUCCUGGAGCUCAACUCCAGAACUGCCUUUGAUACUGGGGAUCUCGAGUCCGGAAGAGGUGAGUGGAACUCCGAGUGUAGAGGUGAAAUUCGUAGAUAUUCGGAAGAACACCAGUGGCGAAGGCGGCUCACUGGUCCGGUACUGACGCUGAGGUGCGAAAGCGUGGGGAGCAAACAGG
rnacentral:rRNA from 1 species